ACGCACGCUGGCGGCGUGCUUAACACAUGCAAGUCGAACGGAAAGGCCCUGCUUUUGUGGGGUGCUCGAGUGGCGAACGGGUGAGUAACACGUGAGUAACCUGCCCUUGACUUUGGGAUAACUUCAGGAAACUGGGGCUAAUACCGGAUAGGAGCUCCUGCUGCAUGGUGGGGGUUGGAAAGUUUCGGCGGUUGGGGAUGGACUCGCGGCUUAUCAGCUUGUUGGUGGGGUAGUGGCUUACCAAGGCUUUGACGGGUAGCCGGCCUGAGAGGGUGACCGGCCACAUUGGGACUGAGAUACGGCCCAGACUCCUACGGGAGGCAGCAGUGGGGAAUAUUGCACAAUGGGCGGAAGCCUGAUGCAGCAACGCCGCGUGCGGGAUGACGGCCUUCGGGUUGUAAACCGCUUUCGCCUGUGACGAAGCGUGAGUGACGGUAAUGGAUAAAGAAGCACCGGCUAACUACGUG
rnacentral:rRNA from 1 species